UCCGUCUUGAAACACGGACCAAGGAGUGCAGGAGGCGCGCGAGUCUUCGGGUGAGGAACCCGGCCUGGGCGAAGCGAGAGUGAAACGCGGGAGCCGGCGUCCCACCAAGGGCGUCGGCGCACCGUGGACCGAGCCGUGCGGUCACGCUGUGGCCGGCUUCGAGUCAGAGCGCACCUGUUGCGACCCGAAAGAUGGUGAACUAUGCCCGAGGAGGGCGAAGCCAGGGGAAACUCUGGUGGAAGCCCGUAGCGGUUCUGACGUGCAAAUCGAUCGUCGCACUUGGGUAUAGGGGCGAAAGACUAAUCGAACCAUCUAGUAGCUGGUUCCCUCCGAAGUUUCCCUCAGGAUAGCUGGAGCCCGGCUGAGCAGUUUUAUCGGGUAAAGCGAAUGAUUAGAGGUAUCGGGGUCCGAGCGACCUCGACCUAUUCUCAAACUUUAAAUAGGUAAGCACGGGCGGCUUGCUUGCGUGAAGCCGCUCCGCGGAAUGCAGGGGCUCCUGGUGGGCCGUUUUUGGUAAGCAGAACCGGCGAUGCGGGAUGAACCGAACGGCGGGUUACGGUGCCGGAGUUGACGCUGAUCAGAACCCAGGAAAGGUGUUGGUUGAUCCAGACAGCAG
rnacentral:rRNA from 1 species